rnacentral:rRNA from 1 species
UACAGAGGCCACAAGCAUUAGUCGGAAUCACUGGGCUUAAAGGGUGCGUAGGUGGCUCACCAAGUGUUUUGUGAAAUCCCACGGCUCAACCGUGGAACAGCAGGACAUACUGGUGGGCUUGAGGCAAGCAGGGGCUGACGGAACAGUAGGUGGAGCGGUGAAAUGCGUAGAUAUCUACUGGAACGCCGAUGGUGAAGACGGUCAGCUGGGCUUGUCCUGACACUGAGGCACGAAAGCGUGGGGAGCAAACAGG